rnacentral:rRNA from 1 species
UUGUAAUGUAAUGCCUACAACUUUAAUGCACCAUAUCCCAUUAGAACUCUACAGUUAAGUGUUCUUGGGCCAUAGUAUUACUAGGAUGGGUGACCUCCCGGGAAUUCCUAGUGUUUUACAUG